rnacentral:lncRNA from 1 species
CAAUAACUCUCCCAGCGAAAUCACGUAUGGAGAGGUAGACCAGCGCUUAGGUCAGCUUCAAGAGCACCUGAACAGGCUGGAGUCUCAGCUGAUGUCGGAUAUUCAGACCAUUCUGCAACUGCUACAGAGGCAGCCUACUCUGGGACCUCCAGCCUACAGCACUGUGACUGCCAGUCCAGACUAUCACAGACCUGCAGUGAAGGUUCAGCCAGCUGCUAUGCCUGCAAGCCAUUUUUUCAGCCAUUCAGACAGUCAAGGCCCAAACCACAAACAGGAGAGCACCGUUCAGGAAUCCAAGGACUCUCUGUCAAGUUUGGCCAACAUGAAUGCCCC